rnacentral:rRNA from 1 species
GUCUACAGCCAUGCCACCCUGAACAAGCUCAAUCCCGUCUGAUCUCAGAAGCUAAGCAGGGUCAGGCCUGGUUAGUACUUGGAUGGGAGACCACCUAGGAAGACUAGAUGCUGUAGACG